ACCGGAAAUCGGUUUGUUUUGAUGUUUUCGUGAAGAAGUUAGAGGAAUAUUUUGUUCCUUUUCUCAGUCAUUUAGAUCUUAAAGAUGAAGCUGAAUAAAGCCUUCCAGAUGCCCAUAUUUCAUUUGUUGGUGUAUUACUUGGUCGUAUUUGUCGAGAAAGGAUGGAUAAUGUUCCAGAUGCCCUUGGAUGUUAAUCCUUCAUGUUCUGAUUCCAAAGAUUAACGUUUGUGUAACACAUGGUUCUUUGUUACGUCUUUGUAUCAUAUGACUUUGAAAGUUCUUAUAUCUUGUUCCACUUCAGUCGCAAGUCGAAUUUCAUUGAAGAUACCUGCUCCACUUCUACUUUGAUGCGAAUACCCGACAAAUAUGAUUUUAUCUCAGAAAUCUGUGCAAGUUAUGAUGGGUUGAAGUUCUUUUAUCAUAUCAGGAUGGAGGGCUUUUUAUGCAAAAUAUGUAAAACAUAUGAUGUACAAAACUUAUACUUUACACAAAUUGACAUUUUUCGUGUGUACCGAUCAAAUCUUUCUCACUUAUAAUCACGUCUUUAAACAAAUGUGUUAACGUGUUAAAUGUGAAAAACAUUAUCAAUAAAUAUUCAUAAUAUCA